rnacentral:rRNA from 1 species
GUGCCAGCAGCUGCGGUUAUACAAAAAAUACAAAUAAAUUUUAUUAGAAAAAGUUAAAUUGAUUAUUAUUUAAUAAUAAAAAAGUUUUUAGGUGAAAUUUUAAUUAUUUUAUUUUUAAAAAAUAUAAAAAAAUUGAAACUAAAAAAUUUUGUUAAUAAACUAGGAUUAGAUACCCUACUAUUAAAAAAUGUAUUUUAAAAAUCUAGAGUAGUAAUAGUUAUGGUCUUGAAACUCAAAAAAUUUGGCGGUAUUUUAGUCUAUUCAGAGGAACCUGUGGUGUAAUCGAUAAUCCACGAUGAAUCUUACUUAUUUUUGUUUUUCAAUUUGUAUACCGCCGUUAUUUAAAAAUUUUUUGAAAAUAAUAAUUUUUAUAAAUUUUUAUAAAAGAAAAAAUCAGGUCAAGGUGCAGUUUAUAAUUAAGUAUUUCAUGGGUUACAAUAAAUUUAUUUAUAUGGAUUAAAUUAUGAAAUUAAUUUAUGAAAGUGGAUUUGAUAGUAAAUUUUUAAAGAUAAAAAAAUUGAUUUUAGCUCUAAAAUAUG